rnacentral:rRNA from 1 species
AUUGAACGCUGGCGGAAUGCUUUACACAUGCAAGUCGAACGGCAGCACGGGGGCAACCCUGGUGGCGAGUGGCGAACGGGUGAGUAAUACAUCGGAACGUGCCCAGUCGUGGGGGAUAACGCAGCGAAAGCUGUGCUAAUACCGCAUACGAUCUACGGAUGAAAGCGGGGGAUCGCAAGACCUCGCGCGAUUGGAGCGGCCGAUGGCAGAUUAGGUAGUUGGUGGGGUAAAGGCUCACCAAGCCUGCGAUCUGUAGCUGGUCUGAGAGGACGACCAGCCACACUGGGACUGAGACACGGCCCAGACUCCGACGGGAGGCAGCAGUGGGGAAUUUUGGACAAUGGGCGCAAGCCUGAUCCAGCCAUUCCGCGUGCAGGAUGAAGGCCCUCGGGUUGUAAACUGCUUUUGUACGGAACGAAAAGGCUCUCUCUAAUACAGGGGGCUCAUGACGGUACCGUAAGAAUAAGCACCGGCUAACUACGUGCCAGCCGCCGCGGUAA